AGUCGAGCGGACAGAAGGGAGCUUGCUCCCGGAAGUUAGCGGCGGACGGGUGAGUAACACGUGGGCAACCUACCCUGUAGAUCGGGAUAACAUCGAGAAAUCGGUGCUAAUACCGGAUAAUCAUUUGAAGUGCAUGCUUCGAAUGUAAAAGAUGGCUCCGGCUAUCACUACGGGAUGGGCCCGCGGCGCAUUAGCUAGUUGGUAAGGUAAUGGCUUACCAAGGCAACGAUGCGUAGCCGACCUGAGAGGGUGAUCGGCCACACUGGGACUGAGACACGGCCCAGACUCCUACGGGAGGCAGCAGUAGGGAAUCUUCCGCAAUGGACGAAAGUCUGACGGAGCAACGCCGCGUGAGUGAUGAAGGUUUUCGGAUCGUAAAGCUCUGUUGUUAGGGAAGAACAAGUGCCGUUURAAUAAGGCGGCACCUUGACGGUACCUAACCAGAAAGCCACGGCUAACUACGUGCCAGCAGCCGCGGUAAUACGUAGGUGGCAAGCGUUGUCCGGAAUUAUUGGGCGUAAAGCGCGCGCAGGCGGUUCCUUAAGUCUGAUGUGAAAGCCCACGGCUCAACCGUGGAGGGUCAUUGGAAACUGGGGAACUUGAGUACAGAAGAGGAGAGUGGAAUUCCACGUGUAGCGGUGAAAUGCGUAGAUAUGUGGAGGAACACCAGUGGCGAAGGCGACUCUCUGGUCUGUAACUGACGCUGAGGCGCGAAAGCGUGGGGAGCAAACAGGAUUAGAUACCCUGGUAGUCCACGCCGUAACGAUGAGUGCUAGGUGUUAGGGGUUUCGAUGCCCUUAGUGCCGAAGUUAACACAUUAAGCACUCCGCCUGGGGAGUACGACCGCAAGGUUGAAACUCAAAGGAAUU
rnacentral:rRNA from 1 species